rnacentral:rRNA from 1 species
UAGGGAAUCUUCGGCAAUGGACGGAAGUCUGACCGAGCAACGCCGCGUGAGUGAAGAAGGUUUUCGGAUCGUAAAGCUCUUUUGUUAGAGAAGAACGUUGGUAGGAGUGGAAAAUCUACCAAGUGACGGUAACUAACCAGAAAGGGACGGCUAACUACGUGCCAGCAGCCGCGGUAAUACGUAGGUCCCGAGCGUUGUCCGGAGUUAUUGGGCGUAAAGCGAGCGCAGGCGGUUCUUUAAGUCUGAAGUUAAAGGCAGUGGCUUAACCAUUGUACGCUUUGGAAACUGGAGGACUUGAGUGCAGAAGGGGAGAGUGGAAUUCCAUGUGUAGCGGUGAAAUGCGUAGAUAUAUGGAGGAACACCGGUGGCGAAAGCGGCUCUCUGGUCGGUAACUGACGCGGAGGCUCGAAAGCGUGGGGAGCAAACAGG